rnacentral:rRNA from 1 species
GACGAACGCUGGCGGCGUGCUUAACACAUGCAAGUCGAACGGAAAGGCCCUGCUUUUGUUGGGUGCUCGAGUGGCGAACGGGUGAGUAACACGCGAGUGACCUGCCCUUGACUUUGGGAUAACUUCACGAAACUGGGGCGAAUACCGGAUAGGAGCUCCUGCAGCAUGGUGGGGGUUGGAAAGUUUUGGCGGUUGGGGAUGGACUCGCGGCUUAUCAGCUUGUUGGUGGGGUAGUGGUUUACCAAGGCUUUGACGGGUAGCCGGCGUGAGAGGGGGACCGGGGACCUUGGGCCUGAGGUACGGCCCAGACGCCUACGGGAGGCAGCAGUGGGGAAUAUUGCACAGUGGGCGGAAGUCUGAGGCAGCAACCCCGCGUGCGGGAUGACGGCUUUCGGGUUGUAAACCGCUUUCGCAUGUGACGAAGCGUGAGUGACGGUAAUGGGUAAAGAAGCACCGGCUAACUACGUG